rnacentral:rRNA from 1 species
UCGUCCUACGGGAGGCAGCAGUGGGGAAUAUUGGGCAAUGGGCGCAAGCCUGACCCAGCAACGCCGCGUGAAGGAAGAAGGCUUUCGGGUUGUAAACUUCUUUUAAGAGGGAAGAGUAGAAGACGGUACCUCUUGAAUAAGCCACGGCUAACUACGUGCCAGCAGCCGCGGUAAUACGUAGGUGGCAAGCGUUAUCCGGAUUUAUUGGGUUUAAAGGGUGCGUAGGCGGAUCGUUAAGUCAGUGGUCAAAUUGAGGGGCUCAACCCCUUCCCGCCAUUGAAACUGGCGUUCUUGAGUGGACGAGA